GACGAACCGUGCGAACGUUAUUCGGAAUCACUGGGCUUAAAGCGCGUGUAGGCGGGCCGGCACGUCGGUCGCUGAAAUCCCCCGGCUCAACCGGGGAAGGGGCGCCGAUACGGCCGGCCUGGAGGGGGGUAGGGGGCGCUGGAACUCACGGUGGAGCGGUGAAAUGCGUUGAGAUCGUGAGGAACGCCCGCGGCGAAAGCGAGCGCCUGGACCCUUUCUGACGCUGAGACGCGAAAGCCAGGGGAGCGAACGGG
rnacentral:rRNA from 1 species